rnacentral:rRNA from 1 species
GACGAACGCUGGCGGCGUGCCUAAUACAUGCAAGUCGAACGCUGAAGGAGGAGCUUGCUCUUCUGGAUGAGUUGCGAACGGGUGAGUAACGCGUAGGUAACCUGCCUGGUAGCGGGGGAUAACUAUUGGAAACGAUAGCUAAUACCGCAUAAGAGUAGAUGUUGCAUGACAUUUACUUAAAAGGUGCAAUUGCAUCACUACCAGAUGGACCUGCGUUGUAUUAGCUAGUUGGUGGGGUAACGGCUUACCAAGGCGACGAUACAUAGCCGACCUGAGAGGGUGAUCGGCCACACUGGGACUGAGACACGGCCCAGACUCCUACGGGAGGCAGCAGUAGGGAAUCUUCGGCAAUGGACGGAAGUCUGACCGAGCAACGCCGCGUGAGUGAAGAAGGGUUUCGGAUCGUAAAGCUCUGUUGUAAGAGAAGAACGAGUGUGAGAGUGGAAAGUUCACACUGUGACGGUAUCUUAACAGAAAGGGACGGCUAACUACGUG